rnacentral:lncRNA from 1 species
CCAGCACAAAUAAAUAGGGUGACAUAGGGUCACCUUGUCUAAUACACCUUUUGGCUUUGAACGGCUUUGUGAGACCUCCAUAUAGCAUGAGGGAAUAAGAGACGGUUGUGACACAAGCCAUUAUCCAUUGCACAAAUAUAGCAGGAAAGCCCAUAUCAAUUAAUACUUGAUUGAGGAACCUCCAUUUCAAUGUGUCAUAAGCCUUUCUUAGGUCCACCUUCAAGACACAUGUAGGAGAUAUGGCUUUCCUAGAAUAGCAUUUGAAGAUUUCCUGACUGAGGAUAAUGUUAUCCACAAUGCUUCUACCUUCAAUGAAAGCAGAUUGAGCCUGUCCUACCAAUUCACCUAUCACAGUUUUCAUUCUCCUAGUGAUGACUUUGGAGAUGAUCUUAUACAAGGUGGUGCAGCAGGCUAUAGGUCAGUAGUCUUUCACAGUUGCUGGGGUUUUAACAAUCGGGAUAAGAGCUAUAGCAGUAGUAUUAAGAGCUAUAGGUCUGUAGUCUUUCACAGUUGCUGGGGUUUUAACUAUGGGGAUAAGAGCUAUAGCAGUAGUAUUAAUCAUUGGAGGCAUUCUGCAAGUGUUGAAGAAAU